rnacentral:rRNA from 1 species
UACGUAGGGUGCGAGCGUUGUCCGGAAUUAUUGGGCGUAAAGAGCUCGUAGGCGGUUUGUCACGUCUGCUGUGAAAUCCCGAGGCUCAACCUCGGGCCUGCAGUGGGUACGGGCAGACUAGAGUGAUGUAGGGGAGACUGGAAUUCCUGGUGUAGCGGUGAAAUGCGCAGAUAUCAGGAGGAACACCGAUGGCGAAGGCAGGUCUCUGGGCAUUAACUGACGCUGAGGAGCGAAAGCGUGGGGAGCGAACAGG